GACAGAGGGUGCGAACGUUGUUCGGAAUUACUGGGCGUAAAGGGCUCGUAGGCGGCCAACUAAGUCCGACGUGAAAUCCCCAGGCUCAACCUGGGAACUGCGUCGGAUACUGGAUGGCUUGAAUUCGGGAGAGGGAUGCAGAAUUCCAGGUGUAGCGGUGAAAUGCGUAGAUAUCUGGAGGAAUACCGGUGGCGAAGGCGGCAUCCUGGACCGACAUUGACGCUGAUGAGCGAAAGCUAGGGGAGCAAACGGG
rnacentral:rRNA from 1 species